UUCGCAAUGCCCGAAAGGGUGACGAAGCGACGCCGCGUGUGGGAAGAAGGCCUUCGGGUCGUAAACCACUGUCGGGAGUUAAGAAAUGCAAGGAUAUGAAUAGUGUCUUUGCUUGACUAAGGCUCCGGAGGAAGCCACGGCUAACUCUGUGCCAGCAGCCGCGGUAAUACAGAGGCGGCAAGCGUUGUUCGGAAUUAUUGGGCGUAAAGAGCACGUAGGCGGCUAUGUAAGUCGGUUGUGAAAGCCUUCCGCUCAACGGGAGAACAGCAUCCGAUACUACAUGGCUUGAGUGCGGGAGGGGAGAGUGGAACUUCUGGUGGAGCGGUGAAAUGCGUAGAUAUCAGAAGGAACGCCGGCGGCGAAAGCGGCUCUCUGGCCCAUAACUGACGCUGAGUGUGCGAAAGCUAGGGGAGCAAACGGGAUUAGAUACCCCGGUAGUCCUAGCCGUAAACGAUGGGCACUAAGUAGAGGGGUUUU
rnacentral:rRNA from 1 species